rnacentral:tRNA from 1 species
AGAAGUUUAAAUCGAAGCUGCUAACUUUGAUUAGGGGAUUAUAAUCUCCAACUUCUC